UACAGAGGGGGCAAGCGUUGUUCGGAAUUACUGGGCGUAAAGGGCGCGUAGGCGGCCUUCUAAGUCGAACGUGAAAUCCCCGGGCUCAACCCGGGAACUGCGUCCGAUACUGGAAGGCUUGAAUCCGGGAGAGGGAUGUGGAAUUCCAGGUGUAGCGGUGAAAUGCGUAGAUAUCGGAAGGAACACCUGUGGCGAAAGCGGCUCACUGGACCACAACUGACGCUGAUGCACGAAAGCUAGGGGAGCAAACAGG
rnacentral:rRNA from 1 species